UACGUAGGGGGCAAGCGUUAUCCGGAUUUACUGGGUGUAAAGGGAGCGUAGACGGCUAAUCAAGUCAGAAGUGAAAACCCAGGGCUCAACUUUGGGACUGCUUUUGAAACUGAGUAGCUAGAGUGCAGGAGAGGUAAGCGGAAUGCGUGGUGUAGCGGUGAAAUGCGUAGAUAUACGGAGGAACACCAGUGGCGAAGGCGGCCUGCUGGACAAUAACUGACGCUGAGGCGCGAAAGCGUGGGGAGCAAACAGG
rnacentral:rRNA from 1 species